rnacentral:rRNA from 1 species
AGUGAACGCUGGCGGUAGGCCUAACACAUGCAAGUCGAACGGCAGCACAGUAAGAGCUUGCUCUUACGGGUGGCGAGUGGCGGACGGGUGAGGCAUACAUCGGAAUCUACUUUUUCGUGGGGGACAACGUAGGGAAACUUACGCUAAUACCGCAUACGACCUACGGGUGAAAUCAGGGGUUCUUCGGACCUUGCGCGAUUGAAUGAGCCGAUGUCGGAUUAGCUAGUUGGCGGGGUAAAGGCCCACCAAGGCGACGAUCCGUAGCUGGUCUGAGAGGAUGAUCAGCCACACUGGAACUGAGACACGGUCCAGACUCCUACGGGAGGCAGCAGUGGGGAAUAUUGGACAAUGGGCGCAAGCCUGAUCCAGCCAUACCGCGUGGGUGAAGAAGGCCUUCGGGUUGUAAAGCCCUUUUGUUGGGAAAGAAAAGCAGCAGGUUAAUACCCCGCUGUUCUGACGGUACCCAAAGAGUAAGCACCGGCUAACUUCGUG